CUCUUUGAAUGGACUAGGAUUUGAAGACAACCAAAAUUGGAGCAAGCUUAGGCUGGAAAACCUUGCAUCUAGAACAUUAGCAAAGGCCCGAAAAAAUGUCAGUAAAUAGUGAUGCGUCAAUACCCCAUCCAUUAUGUUACUGUGGAGUGCAUGCACGUUUAAGGUACUCAUGGACUAGUGACAACCCCGGAAGAAAGUGGUACGGUUGUAUAAAGUAUAAGAAAGCUGGGGAUUGUGAUUUUUUUAUGUGGGCUGAUAACCGAAUGACUUCUUAUGAGAAGAGAUUGGAGGAACAUAUGAGAGACAUAGAGGAAGGGAGACGGGCUGAUAUUAAGAAAAUUGAGAAGAUGACAAUGGCCAAUAUUGACAGACUUGAGAAACUAAUUGAAACAAGACACAACGAACAAUAUGAGAGACUUCGGUUGGAGUUGGGUCUUAAUAGAAAGAUGUUUUGGGCAGCAGUAGUUGUAAUCAUU